CUCUCCAGUGAUGAGACCCCUACCGCCCCAGUCUGAUAUUGGUGACUGAGUGGUUCCCUCUGAGCCCAG